rnacentral:rRNA from 1 species
CCUGGCUCAGAUUGAACGCUGGCGGCAUGCCUUACACAUGCAAGUCGAACGGCAGCGGACCUUCGGGUGCCGGCGAGUGGCGAACGGGUGAGUAAUAUAUCGGAACGUACCUUUCAGUGGGGUAUAACGUAGCGAAAGUUACGCUAAUACCGCAUAUUCUGUGAGCAGGAAAGCAGGGGAUCGCAAGACCUUGCGCUGAUUGAGCGGCCGAUAUCAGAUUAGCUAGUUGGUGAGGUAAAGGCUCACCAAGGCGACGAUCUGUAGCGGGUCUGAGAGGAUGAUCCGCCACACUGGAACUGAGACACGGUCCAGACUCCUACGGGAGGCAGCAGUGGGGAAUUUUGGACAAUGGGCGCAAGCCUGAUCCAGCCAUGCCGCGUGAGUGAAGAAGGCCUUCGGGUUGUAAAGCUCUUUCGGCCGGGAAGAAAUCGCACAGGUUAAUACCCUGUGUGGAUGACGGUACCGGAAUAAGAAGCACCGGCUAACUACGUG